GAAGGAGUAAAGAAAUUAGGUAGUAAGAGAAGGCUUGAAACUUAAAAAAUUUGGCGGUAUCUUAAACUAAUUAGAGGAACUUGUUUUGUAAUCGAAAUUACUCGUCAAAUCUUACUUAAAGUUAUAGCUUGUAUAUCGUUGUUGUAAUAAUAUUUAUGAUUAUUAUUGGCUAGAAUUUUAUUUCAAACAUCAGAUCAAGGUUCAGCUUAUAUUUGAGUAGAAAAUGAGUUACAAUAUAUUUUAUGUAUAUGGAUUUUAUUCUUAGAAGAUAAAUGAAAGUGGAUUUAAAAGUAUUUUUGGAAUAAUUUGUUAAAUUGAAUUAGCUCUAAGAUAUGC
rnacentral:rRNA from 1 species